AUUGAACGCUGGCGGCAGGCCUAACACAUGCAAGUCGAGCGGUAGAGAGGUGCUUGCAUCUCUUGAGAGCGGCGGACGGGUGAGUAAUGCCUAGGAAUCUGCCUAGUGGUGGGGGAUAACGUUCGGAAACGGACGCUAAUACCGCAUACGUCCUACGGGAGAAAGCGGGGGAUCUUCGGACCUCGCGCCAUUAGAUGAGCCUAGGUCGGAUUAGCUAGUUGGUGAGGUAAUGGCUCACCAAGGCGACGAUCCGUAACUGGUCUGAGAGGAUGAUCAGUCACACUAAGAACUGAGACACGGUCCAGACUCCGUACGGGAGGCAGCAGGUAGGGGAAUAGUUGGACAAGUGGGCGACAA
rnacentral:rRNA from 1 species